rnacentral:rRNA from 1 species
GGCCUACCAAGGCGACGACGAGUAGCCGGCAUGAGAGGGUGACCGGCCACACUGGGAAUGAGACACGCCCCAUACUCCUACAGGAGGCAGCAGUGGGGAAUAUUGCACAAUGGCCACAAGCAUGAUGCAGCGACGCCGGAUGAGGGAUGACGGCCUUCGGGUUAUAAUCUUUUUUCAGUAGGGAAGAAGCCUUUGGGGGUGACGGUACUUGCAGAAGAAGCGCCGGCUAACUACGUGCCAGCAGCCGCGGUAAUACGUAGGGCGCAAGCGUUAUCCGGAAUUAUUGGGCGUAAAGAGCUCGUAGGCGGUUUGUCGCGUCUGCUGUGAAAGACCGGGGCUCAACUCCGGUUCUGCAGUGGGUACGGGCAGACUAGAGUGCAGUAGGGGAGACUGGAAUUCCUGGUGUAGCGGUGAAAUGCGCAGAUAUCAGGAGGAACACCGAUGGCGAAGGCAGGUCUCUGGGCUGUAACUGACGCUGAGGAGCGAAAGCAUGGGGAGCGAACAGGAUUAGAUACCCUGGUAGUCCAUGCCGUAAACGUUGGGCGACUAGGUGUGGGGGACAUUCCACGUUUUCCGCGCCGUAGCUAACGCAUUAAGUGCCCUCCCCCUGGGGAGUACGGCCGCAAGGCUCAACAAACUCAAUUAGGAAUUGACGGGGGCCCGCCCCACCAAGCGGAGGAGCAUGCGGAUUAAUUCGAUGCAACAAAAAGAACCUUACUCAUAGGCUUGACAUCAACCGCCAAUAGAACUAGAAACAGGUGCGCCCGCUUUGCGGUCGGAUCACAAGUGGUGCAUGGCUUGUCGUGCACCUCCUGUCGUGACAUGUUGGGUUAAGUCAAGUCCGCAACGAGCGCAACCCUCGUUCUAUCUUGCCAGCGAUUCCGUCCAGGGACUCAUAGGAGACUGGCCAGUUCAACUCAGAGUAAGGAGGGGACAAGGACAAUCUAAUUCUGCGGGGGUCUUGGACCUCGGCCAUGCUACCAUGUCCAGCGCACAGGGCUACGAUUUUGGAAACUGUAAAAGUGACACAAAAACCCAAAAAUCUGUUCCCAUUUUUGGAUUGCCGCUCGCCCCCCUCGACUCA